UGCCAGCCGCCGCGGUAAUACGGAGGGGGUUAGCGUUGUUCGGAAUUACUGGGCGUAAAGCGCGCGUAGGCGGUUUGUUAAGUCGGCUGUGAAAGCCCCGGGCUCAACCUGGGAAUUGCAGUCGAUACUGACCGACUAGAGUACGAGAGAGGGAGGUAGAAUUCCACGUGUAGCGGUGAAAUGCGUAGAUAUGUGGAGGAAUACCGGUGGCGAAGGCGGCCUCCUGGCUCGAUACUGACGCUGAGGUGCGAAAGCGUGGGGAGCAAACAGGAUUAGAUA
rnacentral:rRNA from 1 species